GCUUUGCGGCAGGCCUACACAUGCAGUCGAGCGGUAGCACAGAGAGCUUGCUCUCGGGUGACGAGCGGCGGACGGGUGAGUAAUGUCUGGGAAACUGCCUGAUGGAGGGGGAUAACUACUGGAAACGGUAGCUAAUACCGCAUAAUGUCGCAAGACCAAAGAGGGGGACCUUCGGGCCUCUUGCCAUCAGAUGUGCCCAGAUGGGAUUAGCUAGUAGGUGGGGUAACGGCUCACCUAGGCGACGAUCCCUAGCUGGUCUGAGAGGAUGACCAGCCACACUGGAACUGAGACACGGUCCAGACUCCUACGGGAGGCAGCAGUGGGGAAUAUUGCACAAUGGGCGCAAGCCUGAUGCAGCCAUGCCGCGUGUAUGAAGAAGGCCUUCGGGUUGUAAAGUACUUUCAGCGGGGAGGAAGGUGUUGAGGUUAAUAACCUCAGCAAUUGACGUUACCCGCAGAAGAAGCACCGGCUAACUCCGUGCCAGCAGCCGCGGUAAUACGGAGGGUGCAAGCGUUAAUCGGAAUUACUGGGCGUAAAGCGCACGCAGGCGGUCUGUCAAGUCGGAUGUGAAAUCCCCGGGCUCAACCUGGGAACUGCAUUCGAAACUGGCAGGCUAGAGUCUUGUAGAGGGGGGUAGAAUUCCAGGUGUAGCGGUGAAAUGCGUAGAGAUCUGGAGGAAUACCGGUGGCGAAGGCGGCCCCCUGGACAAAGACUGACGCUCAGGUGCGAAAGCGUGGGGAGCAAACAGGAUUAGAUACCCUGGUAGUCCACGCCGUAAACGAUGUCGACUUGGAGGUUGUGCCCUUGAGGCGUGGCUUCCGGAGCUAACGCGUUAAGUCGACCGCCUGGGGAGUACGGCCGCAAGGUUAAAACUCAAAUGAAUUGACGGGGGCCCGCACAAGCGGUGGAGCAUGUGGUUUAAUUCGAUGCAACGCGAAGAACCUUACCUACUCUUGACAUCCAGAGAACUUUCCAGAGAUGGAUUGGUGCCUUCGGGAACUCUGAGACAGGUGCUGCAUGGCUGUCGUCAGCUCGUGUUGUGAAAUGUUGGGUUAAGUCCCGCAACGAGCGCAACCCUUAUCCUUUGUUGCCAGCGGUCCGGCCGGGAACUCAAAGGAGACUGCCAGUGAUAAACUGGAGGAAGGUGGGGAUGACGUCAAGUCAUCAUGGCCCUUACGAGUAGGGCUACACACGUGCUACAAUGGCGCAUACAAAGAGAAGCGACCUCGCGAGAGCAAGCGGACCUCAUAAAGUGCGUCGUAGUCCGGAUUGGAGUCUGCAACUCGACUCCAUGAAGUCGGAAUCGCUAGUAAUCGUAGAUCAGAAUGCUACGGUGAAUACGUUCCCGGGCCUUGUACACACCGCCCGUCACACCAUGGGAGUGGGUUGCAAAAGAAGUAGGUAGCUUAACCUUCGGGAGGGCGCUACCACUUGAAUCGAGGG
rnacentral:rRNA from 1 species